rnacentral:rRNA from 1 species
GUUAAGCGACUAAGCGUACACGGUGGAUGCCCUGGCAGUCAGAGGCGAUGAAGGACGUGCUAAUCUGCGAUAAGCGUCGGUAAGGUGAUAUGAACCGUUAUAACCGGCGAUUUCCGAAUGGGGAAACCCAGUGUGUUUCGACACACUAUCAUUAACUGAAUCCAUAGGUUAAUGAGGCGAACCGGGGGAACUGAAACAUCUAAGUACCCCGAGGAAAAGAAAUCAACCGAGAUUCCCCCAGUAGCGGCGAGCGAACGGGGAGCAGCCCAGAGCCUGAAUCAGUGUGUGUGUUAGUGGAAGCGUCUGGAAAGGCGCGCGAUACAGGGUGACAGCCCCGUACACAAAAAUGCACAUGCUGUGAGCUCGAUGAGUAGGGCGGGACACGUGGUAUCCUGUCUGAAUAUGGGGGGACCAUCCUCCAAGGCUAAAUACUCCUGACUGACCGAUAGUGAACCAGUACCGUGAGGGAAAGGCGAAAAGAACCCCGGCGAGGGGAGUGAAAAAGAACCUGAAACCGUGUACGUACAAGCAGUGGGAGCACGCUUAGGCGUGUGACUGCGUACCUUUUGUAUAAUGGGUCAGCGACUUAUAUUCUGUAGCAAGGUUAACCGAAUAGGGGAGCCGAAGGGAAACCGAGUCUUAACUGGGCGUUAAGUUGCAGGGUAUAGACCCGAAACCCGGUGAUCUAGCCAUGGGCAGGUUGAAGGUUGGGUAACACUAACUGGAGGACCGAACCGACUAAUGUUGAAAAAUUAGCGGAUGACUUGUGGCUGGGGGUGAAAGGCCAAUCAAACCGGGAGAUAGCUGGUUCUCCCCGAAAGCUAUUUAGGUAGCGCCUCGUGAAUUCAUCUCCGGGGGUAGAGCACUGUUUCGGCAAGGGGGUCAUCCCGACUUACCAACCCGAUGCAAACUGCGAAUACCGGAGAAUGUUAUCACGGGAGACACACGGCGGGUGCUAACGUCCGUCGUGAAGAGGGAAACAACCCAGACCGCCAGCUAAGGUCCCAAAGUCAUGGUUAAGUGGGAAACGAUGUGGGAAGGCCCAGACAGCCAGGAUGUUGGCUUAGAAGCAGCCAUCAUUUAAAGAAAGCGUAAUAGCUCACUGGUCGAGUCGGCCUGCGCGGAAGAUGUAACGGGGCUAAACCAUGCACCGAAGCUGCGGCAGCGACGCUUAUGCGUUGUUGGGUAGGGGAGCGUUCUGUAAGCCUGCGAAGGUGUGCUGUGAGGCAUGCUGGAGGUAUCAGAAGUGCGAAUGCUGACAUAAGUAACGAUAAAGCGGGUGAAAAGCCCGCUCGCCGGAAGACCAAGGGUUCCUGUCCAACG